rfam:Streptomyces hygroscopicus ATCC 53653 genomic scaffold supercont1.1, whole genome shotgun sequence.
CUUCACCGACCCCAACAACAACGGACGGUCCCGGUCCUGCCCAUAGGUAGCCAGCAGCGCCUGUGCUUC